GAUGAAGAACGUAGCGAAAUGCGAUACGUAAUGUGAAUUGCAGAAUUCAGUGAAUCAUCGAAUCUUUGAACGCAUAUUGCGCUCUCUGGUAUUCCGGAGAGCAUGCUUGUUUGAGUAUCAGUAAACACCUCAACUUCCAUAUCUUUUUUGAAAUGGGAGUUGGACUUGAGUGAUCCCAACGCUUUUCCUCACCGAAAAGUGGCGGGUUACUUGAAAUGCAGGUGCAGCUGGACUUUUCUCUGAGCUAUAAGCAUAUCUAUUUAGUCUGCCUAAAAACAGAUUAUUACCUUUGCUGCAGCUAACAUAAAGGAGAUUAGUUCUUGUGCUGACUGAUGCAGGAUUCACAAAGACAGGCUUCGGCCGACUUUGUAAACUCGAUCUCAAAUCAAGUAAGACUACCCGCUGAACUUAAGCAUAUCAAUAAGCGGAGA
rnacentral:misc_RNA from 1 species